rnacentral:pre_miRNA from 1 species
ACCACUGAGCCACCUUGCCAGCCCCUUUAAAAAUUUUUCUAAAUGAAAAAAAAAAGGGGCUGGGAAGAUGGCUCAGUGGU